GGAAGCGCUGCCGCGUGACGUCAGACUUAACAACCGGAUAGUACAGGCGCCUCAGUUCAAACGGCAGCGCGGACCACGAGUGAACGCGAUCAUCCCUUCCUCUUCACUACUACUAGUUACAGAAUGAACAUCUGAAGCUGUGCGUCACUCAUGCAAACCAUCGGUCCAUUCUGAGUGGCAGCUGUAUGCACACAUCUUUCUCACAUGACUCCCGCUAGCUGGACCUCGACUGCGAGAGUUGGUCUGAUAGUGAGAAAUACUGCAGCUAGUGUCCAAACAAAGACAAAGGCCUGAGAUACAACAGAUGGACAGAAGCAUUACGCCAUGUCGGGUUCCUCUAGGUGUUGUGUUAAUUGGGGUGUAUAUAAAGAGAAAGUGGCAAGACAGUUUUGGUAUUUCUGACAGGUAAAUGCAAGAUUAACAGCAAAUUUUUUGUAAACAAGUAGCAGAUGAGGAGGGAUUGUUUAGUGUUUGUUUUCACUUGCAGCAGAAGCAAACUGUUUGAGAUUAAAAUGCCCACAAUGAACACA